rnacentral:rRNA from 1 species
GAUCAAAUCAAGCGCGAAAAGGGCGUUUGGUGGAUGCCUUGGCAGUAAGAGGCGAUGAAGGACGUGAUACUCUGCGAUAAGCCAUGGGGAGCUGAGAAUAAGCUUUGAUCCAUGGAUUUCCGAAUGGGGCAACCCACCUGAUAUUUUGUUGUUACUGUCGCAAGACAGCUAACAGCGGGAUAAACCAGGUAUUUCUAGACUGAAUACAUAGGUUUAGAAAAGCAAACCCGGGGAACUGAAACAUCUAAGUACCCGGAGGAAAGGAAAUCAACAGAUACUCCCCUAGUAGCGGCGAGCGAACGGGGACCAGCCGAGCCAUGAGAGUGACAAGAAUAUCCUGGAAAGGAUAGCCAGAGUGGGUGACAGCCCCGUAUUGGAAGCUCAAUUGGACGUAUUAAGUAGGGCGGGACACGUGAAAUCCUGUCUGAACAUCGGAGGACCACCUUCGAAGGCUAAGUACUCCUUACUGACCGAUAGCGAACCAGUACCGUGAGGGAAAGGUGAAAAGCACCCCGACGAGGGGAGUGAAACAGUACCUGAAACCGAACGCCUACAAGCAGUUGGAGGGUCCUUGAGGCCUGACAGCGUACCUUUUGUAUAAUGGGUCAUCGACUUGGUCUCACAAGCAAGCUUAAGCCGUUAGGUGUAGGCGCAGCGAAAGCGAGUCUUAAUAGGGCGAUUGAGUUUGUGGGAUCAGACCCGAAACCGAGUGAUCUAGGCAUGUCCGGGAUGAAGGUUAGGUAACACUAACUGGAGGUCCGAACCCACACCUGUUGAAAAAGGUCGGGAUGAGGUGUGCCUAGGGGUGAAAGGCCAAUCAAACUCGGAGAUAGCUGGUUCUCUGCGAAAUCUAUUUAGGUAGAGCGUCGUCCGAAUACCCUCGGGGGUAGAGCACUGGAUGGGUAAUGGGGCCUUACCGGCUUACUGAUCCUAACCAAACUCCGAAUACCGAGGAGUACUAGACGGCAGACACACAUCGGGUGCUAACGUCCGGUGUGAAGAGGGAAACAACCCUGACCUACGACUAAGGCCCCUAAUUCAUGGCUAAGUGGGAAAGCAGGUGGGACGGCCAAAACAACCAGGAGGUUGGCUUAGAAGCAGCCAUCCUUUAAAGAUAGCGUAACAGCUCACUGGUCUAAACAAGCUGUCCUGCGGCGAAGAUGUAACGGGGCUCAAGCCAUGAGCCGAAGUCUAGGGUGUAUAGCAAUAUACGCGGUAGCAGAGCGUAGUGUGACAUAGUUCCAUGUCUCUUCAGCAGUUUAGGCUGCUUUGGAGACGCGGAGCUUUCUGUGAAGCCCCCCUGUGAGGGAUGGGGUGGAGAGAUCACUAGUGAGAAUGAUGACAUGAGUAGCGACAAAGGGAGUGAGAGACUCCCUCGCCGAAAGUCCAAGGGUUCCUGCUUAAAGCUAAUCUGAGCAGGGUAAGCCGACCCCUAAGGCGAGGCCGAAAGGCGUAGUCGAUGGGAACCAGGUUAAUAUUCCUGGGCCGUGGAGUGGUGACGGAUCUGAAACGUAGUUCAUCCUUAUCGGAUUGAAUGGGCUGCCAACAGGUUCCUGGAAAUAGCCCUCCUAUAAGAUCGUACCCUAAACCGACACAGGUGGACUGGUAGAGAAUACCAAGGCGCUUGAGAGAACCACAUUUAAGGAACUCGGCAAAAUACCUCCGUAAGUUCGCGAGAAGGAGGCCCGUUCAGAACGCAAGUUUUGGGCGGGGGCACAAACCAGGGGGGUGGCGCCGGUUUACAAAAAAAACAGGGCUCUGCGAAGUCGCAAGACGACGUAUAGGGUCUGACGCCUGCCCGGUGCCUGAAGGUUAAAAGGAGGAGUGCAAGCUCCGAAUUGAAGCCCAGGUAAACGGCGGCCGUAACUAUAACGGUCCUAAGGUAGCGAAAUUCCUUGUCGGGUAAGUUCCGACCUGCACGAAUGGCGUAACGACUUCCCCGCUGUCUCAAAUGUGGACUCAGCGAAAUUGAAUUGCCUGUCAAGAUGCAGGCUACCCGCGGUUAGACGGAAAGACCCCAUGCACCUUUACUAUAGCUUCACACUGGCAUCAGGUACAGCAUGCGCAGGAUAGGUGGUAGGCUUUGAAGCCGGGACUCUGGUCCUGGUGGAGCCUCCCUUGAGAUACCACCCUUGCUCUGCUUGAUGUCUAACCGCGGUCCGUUAUCCGGAUCCGGGACCCUGUGUGGUGGGUAGUUUGACUGGGGCGGUCGCCUCCCAAAUUGUAACGGAGGCGCGCGAAGGUUGGCUCAGAGCGGUCGGAAAUCGCUCGUUGAGUGCAAUGGCAGAAGCCAGCCUGACUGCAAGACUGACAAGUCGAGCAGAGUCGAAAGACGGCCAUAGUGAUCCGGUGGUCCCGCGUGGAAGGGCCAUCGCUCAACGGAUAAAAGGUACGCUGGGGAUAACAGGCUGAUGGUGCCCAAGAGUCCAUAUCGACGGCACCGUUUGGCACCUCGAUGUCGGCUCAUCUCAUCCUGGGGCUGGAGCAGGUCCCAAGGGUACGGCUGUUCGCCGUUUAAAGAGGUACGUGAGCUGGGUUUAGAACGUCGUGAGACAGUUCGGUCCCUAUCUUCCGUGGGUGUAGGAUACUUGAGAGGAGUUGCCCCUAGUACGAGAGGACCGGGGUGAACGAUCCACUGGUGGACCUGUUGUCGUGCCAACGGCAGUGCAGGGUAGCUAUGAUCGGACAGGAUAACCGCUGAAGGCAUCUAAGCGGGAAGCCCCCCUCAAAACAAGGUAUCCCUGAGGACCGAGGUAGACCACCUCGUCGAUAGGCCAGAGAUGUAAGCGCAGCAAUGUGUUCAGUUGACUGGUACUAAUGGUCCGAUAGGCUUGAUUUGAUCCAG